rnacentral:lncRNA from 1 species
UUAAAGAGUAGCUCUUGUACCAGGGAAAUGAAGAUUUGAUCCUGCACUGCUCUUAAGACACUAUGGGAAAUACUCGUAACUUCUAAGUCUAGUUCAGAUUCUCUUGGCUGCCGAAUUCCGAAACAGUCAUAAAAUGUGAUUUGCACUCCUAGACACUCAGGAAUCUCUCCGUUACCUCAGAGAAUCUGGCCACAAACAGGACUCAGAGUGGAAAUUGCCCAACCUGUCUGCUAUCACUCUCUUGAAAGAGACAGAUCCGAUCAGCAUCUCUCAACUGUGACUCAUGAGGUAUUUUUGGCUAUGUCAAGAACAUUCUCAAACAAGGUUGUACUGAAUUUUCUCUAUUGAUUCCCCUUCCUGAACACAGUCCAUGGUCCAUUCUCUGCCUUGUACGCCCUAGUAUAGGUUCCAGGAAGCUAAACCUUACAGAGAGAAACACAGGCUCUCUUGCCACCUGAUUCUCAUGUGGGUUUGGUCGAGGAAGGACCAAGAGGAACUUGGAAAUCAGAAGGAAAAAGAGUUUAAGUAUUUCCCAACAUUCUCUCUAAGGAUUUUGCCACUUCUUUGCAGAACAAAGAAUGCACACCUACCAAAGGGCUACUUUGCACUCAGCACUGAGUUUAUAUUUAAGCUGGUAGAUUUUGAAUGAAGUAGAUUACCCUUCAUAGUAUGAAUGGACCUCAUCCAAUCAGUUGAAGGCCUGAAUAGAACAAAAGACUGACCUCCCUGAGCAAGAGAGAAUUCUGUGGCAGGCUGCCUUUGGACUUCAACUGCAACAUCAGCUCUUCCCUGGGUCUCCCACUUGACAGCCUUCGAACUUGAACUGUAGCAUCGGCUCAUCCUGGGACUCCAAUCUGCCAGACCACAGCAGAUUUUGGACUUGCCAGCCUCUAUAAUCACAUGAGCCAAUUCCUUAAAAUAAAUAUCUCUCUCCAGACACACACAUUUUAUUGGUUCUGAAUAAUACACUCUUCAUAGUCUUCUUCUUGUUAUUAUUCUUCAGUGGGAAAGGAGGAUAAGAGCAAGUAUAUACUGAGUGCUUACUAUGUGCCAAACAUUAUGUUUAUUUAUUUACUUGUUUAUUUUUAGAGACACCAUUGGCUCCUCACAAUAUCUCUAUGAAAAAUGUAU